rnacentral:rRNA from 1 species
CGCGUAGGCGGUUUGUUAAGUCGGAUGUGAAAGCCCCGGGCUCAACCUGGGAAUUGCACCCGAUACUGGCCGACUGGAGUGCGAGAGAGGGAGGUAGAAUUCCACGUGUAGCGGUGAAAUGCGUAGAUAUGUGGAGGAAUACCGGUGGCGAAAGCGGCUCUCUGGUCCGGACCUGACGCUGAGGCGCGAAAGCGUGGGGAGCAAACA